rnacentral:rRNA from 1 species
GACGAACCGUGCGAACGUUGUUCGGAAUCACUGGGCUUAAAGGGCGCGUAGGUGGCGACCCAAGUCCGUGGUGAAAGCUCGUCGCUUAACGACGAGUCGGCCACGGAGACUGGGUGGCUCGAGCACUGUAGGGGCAGAUGGAAUUCCGGGUGUAGCGGUGGAAUGCGUAGAGAUCCGGAAGAACACCAGUGGCGAAGGCGGUCGUCGCUGGGGCAGUUGCUGACACUGAGGCGCGACAGCGUGGGGAGCAAACAGG